UAAAAAAUUGUGAACCUCGAAGAUGUAGUCAAAAGUGACUCAAGUGUCAAUAUAAAGGGUGUACUUUGUUCUAGGGCUUCAGAGAAAGGAGACGAGCCACGAUUAGGA